UUGGAGGGCAAGUCUGGUGCCAGCAGCCGCGGUAAUUCCGGCUCCAAUAGCGUAUAUUAAAGUUGUUGCAGUUAAAAAGCUCGUAGUUGAAUUUCGAGAUCAAUUUGUUGGUCGUGCCUCGGUACGUACUGGCAAUUUUGGUUUCUCCCUUCUGAAGAACCAUGAUGUCAUUAAUUUGGUGUCAUGGGGAAUCAGGACCGUUACUUUGAAAAAAUUAGAGUGUUUAAAGCAGGC
rnacentral:rRNA from 1 species